UCAGUUUUGAGUUUGCAAAUAAUUCUUACCUACAGUUGAAUAUAUUUUAACUCCGUAAUUAUUUUUCUAAAAGUGUUAUUCUUACUAACGAUUCCACUAUGUCCUUUUAUAGAAUAUCGUUUUGUGUGAAAUGUGGACAAAAAACUGGAUGGAUAAGUCCAGUUGUUCUGAAAAUGACAAAAAAUAGAAUUCCCGGAUUACGCGGAAAGUGUUGCAAAUGCAAGUGCAACAAAUCGACAUUUGUAUCCAAAUGUUAUUACAAGAGACAGAUGCAAAAGUGUCGCGCCAGAUCACGCCGUUAAUGUUUGAAAAUAAGAUGAAGCACACAUCUAGUAUAAAAACCAUACUAAUGCAUUUCAAAAUAUUUCAGAAAGAUUAAAAAUGUGUAUAAAAUGUAUUUUAAAUACAAAAUAAAUAAUCGUUGAA